GAUGAACGCUGGCGGCGUGCCUAAUACAUGCAAGUCGAGCGAACAGAUAAGGAGCUUGCUCCCUUGACGUUAGCGGCGGACGGGUGAGUAACACGUGGGUAACCUACCUAUAAGACUGGGAUAACUUCGGGAAACCGGAGCUAAUACCGGAUAACAUUUGGAACCGCAUGGUUCUAAAGUGAAAGAUGGUUUUGCUAUCACUUAUAGAUGGACCCGCGCCGUAUUAGCUAGUUGGUAAGGUAACGGCUUACCAAGGCGACGAUACGUAGCCGACCUGAGAGGGUGAUCGGCCACACUGGAACUGAGACACGGUCCAGACUCCUACGGGAGGCAGCAGUAGGGAAUCUUCCGCAAUGGGCGAAAGCCUGACGGAGCAACGCCGCGUGAGUGAUGAAGGGUUUCGGCUCGUAAAACUCUGUUAUUAGGGAAGAACAAACGUGUAAGUAACUGUGCACGUCUUGACGGUACCUAAUCAGAAAGCCACGGCUAACUACGUG
rnacentral:rRNA from 1 species